GAUGGUAGCUCCCUGGGACGAGCAGCACUCCUCCAGACCUGGCCCCCCUUCCCUAUCUUUUUCGGAACUUCCAGCCCCCAAAGCAAAGACACCCCUACGCCAGUCCUCCAAGUUCUUGCCAGGAGGCGGAUGGACUCCUCAACUUCUCUCGUCACUCCUGCAGGGCUAAGCACUUCUAAUGCGGGCUCAGGAACUCCGGCGUUGCACAGACCCGGCCCCCGUCGCCUUGACCACCUCCGACGGCGGGGGCGGCUCGCCCGCCACCCGGGCCCGGAGCCCCGCUCCGCCUCAACUCCCGCUGCGCCAGCCUGCCUCGCCGCCACCCGGAGCUCGCUCCCGGGCCCUCGCCCUGGCCUCGACCCGCCAGGCCGGAGCGCCCGGCCGCCGCAGCGAGAAGCUCUAGAGGCCGCGCGUUCCCCUCGCAGGCCCCGCCUGGGCCUCUCGGCUCCGCUCCCCACACCGCACGCUCUGCCCGGCCGCGCUCUCGCCAAGCAGCUCCGACAGCUCGAGCGCAGGGCCCCGCACUUACUCGGGAAGGUAGGUAGAGGAGAAGGAGCUCCACUUAUGCAGCGCGUAGGGCAGAAGCCGGCACUCGGGCGCCGCAGCAACAGCCCCGCCAGCCGCCAUCUUGUCAGCACCGUAGCGGCUGCCACCGACCGCCAGCCCCGCCAGGAGGAGGGCGGGGACGUGGCCUGCUCUUAAAGGGGCCGCGCCGUGAACCCAACCGCGCAGGGCCCGGACUGCCUGGUGGGAGGCCGCUUCCUCAGGUUUCCCACGCUGUCCUUUCCGAGCUGACCCUCCCAUGGAGACUUUCCUGUGAGGCUUGGAAGAGGAGUGGCAUCCGAGGACUUUUCAUACAAGCCCAGACAUUGACUGGCUGGUUAUAAAAGUCAUAUGGGAAGUCAGCCCAGAAGAGGUAACACAACCUUGAAAAAGAUCGAAGGUGAAAGACCAGUAUUUCCUAGGUUCAAAACCUACAGUGAUCGUCCUACGGAGACUAGCAAAGAAUUGAUGAUAUCAGGAUAAACCUCACAUUACAGUCAAUUUCAGAUAAGAUCAAGAUGUGAGGUCUCAGCUUGCUAUACCUGCCAGCCUGCCUUUGCUGAGCCAUCGUGGACUCCCCCUUGAAAUCAUAAAGCUCAAUUAAAUUGUUUCUUUUGAAAUUGGUGCCUGUGCAGCUGAUGAUCUGUUGGAUGCUGGGAAAAUACAGAUUCCUGAUGACACUGGUGACUCCAGCCUUGCCGCCACUGAUUUCUGGGAGCUGGCUACAGCCUUGUGACCCAAGGCUCUGGAAUGGAUCAACCCGCCUACGCCUGCUCGCAGCUCUGUGUCUCCAUGGAAACAGCUUGUCAGGCCCUGCUUGGCUGCAGGUACUGAAGACCUCUCAUUUGCAGCCUGGGUUCCACACAGAUUCGGUUUUAAUAAUCUGGCAGGUGUUAAGA